ensembl:lncRNA GLIDR glioblastoma down-regulated RNA
AACUGAAGGGCACUGACUGGGUCACUGGUGAAGUUCCCCGCAGGAACUGAGUCAGACCCCAUCUCAGGGCCCUGCACAAGAUAGGUGCCUGCUCUAAGGCGUGGACCCUCGCCACAGCCCUGGCCCGUCUUGACGGGCGAGGGUUACUGUACUUGUCCCAACCGUACAGAUGAGAAAGCUGAGACUCAGGGCCAGCAACCCGGGUCCCAGCGGAGCGCCCGGCACACGCCGACACUUCAGCACCAGUGGCGGUGGCCACCACUGUGGGCGGAGAUGGCUGCGACGCGUGCGCAGAUCUCGAUCCCAAACUCCCUCCUGCCAGAAUCUGGACCCGAAUCCACCCAUUGCCCGUUUUCCGCUGCCGCUGGAGAGAAUCUCUGAGGUCCCCAGGAGAGCCUGCCUGCACGGAAGAGACGCCUCCUCGGUGAAAUGGCCACCAGACCCAGGCUUUCUGGAAUGCAUUCAUUUUCUGCAGUUGAAAGGGACAAUCCCGGAUCUGAAAGAAAGAGCCACAGUGACUCCAAGAGUGGAGCCAGGGCAUGCUGGACACUGCAUAGCUAUGGCCACGUGUGUCACCUCCGAGGGAGAUGUGAGAGAAACGCAGAGGGAUCGCUUGUGACUGUGCCUUCUCGAUGUAUGAUGGACUGUUCUGCUCAAAUACAGGUUGGAAUGAUGGCUCACUGAAAACUGAAGAUGACAUGGAAGAUGAAAAGGGAGAUGAGAAAGUCCUGCCCAUUAAUGAGAGGAAGAUGGGCACAAUGCGGUGACCUCACAGGUCUCCAGGCCUCAGCUCAGCUCUGAUGAAGAGGCUCAUGUCAUACAGUCUCUUCAGAUGAUCACAGAGAAAAACGUGGUGACAGAGAGGCAGAUGUUUUACUGUUUCCACUUCUGGAACUUGUUGCAGGGUAUGAAGAGGGUCAGCACCAGAGAAGAUAUAGAAUAUCAUGUCUGCAAUAGAUGAAGCCAUCAAAGGAUGGCUUCACUUCACCACCAGGCAGCACUGACCAACUUACGGCAAUAAAUCCCGCAGACCAGAAUUACACCCAUCAAAUGCCUCACUCACCAUAUGUCAGCCCAGAAGACUCUUGCAGUGGUGAGCCAGUCUCUUUAUCCACCAAGCCUGACCCAGCAGGCAGGAGAGGCCCAGUACCAAGAUGAUCAUCCACAAUAACCUGCACACUGCAUCGAGGACGGAGGCCAGCCCUAACAGCCCGCGGCCCUCAGGAGGGAGAGGCAGUAAAGGGCUCCUUCUCUCUUUGUCCUGAUGAAUGGGCAUUGCACUAGAAAGAUGAACAUUAGGAGCAGAUUAUCAGAGCCUUGGUCCAGCCACCAUCUCCUCUAUGAUGACCCAGAUGGGCAAACCUUCUGAGGGCAAAGGUCCAACCAACAUCCUGGGUGGCUGGCAUUUUCUGAAUUUCUAUAGCUCAUCACAAAGUGCAGCAAGAAUGGGAGUAUUUGGUGCACCUUGAUUUUGCAGUUGCCUCUGAUGGCCAAGAGACUUAGGGCCAAAGAUUUCUCCCGACCCACGAUCCAGGUCAUAUUUCUGCGGCACAGCUGUGACCCUCAUCCCAACUACAGCCACUGGCACAAUAUCCAGUAAUAUUUGCAAAUGAUUAUGCUAACAUCAGGUUAUAAAAGCUUGUUGUUUUUAAUUUGAGUUAUAUUUUUAAAAUACAAAAUGUCUUGUUUUUUAUGUUUGUGUUCAUGUGGUACAUUUUCCAGGAUAAGAUGGGCUGUGCGGUAAUGGCAAAUAAACCCUCCAAGUCUCA